UAGUAACGGCGAGUGAAGCGGGAAGAGCUCAAGCUUAAAAUCUCCGUGCAAGUUUUGCGCGGCGAAUUGUAGUCUAUAGAGGCGUGAUCAGUGUGGGCGCUUGGGGCAAGUUCCUUGGAAGAGGACAGCAUGGAGGGUGAUACUCCCGUUCAUCCCUGAGUUGCUCGUGCGUACGAUCCGUUUUCUUUGAGUCGCGUUGUUUGGGAAUGCAGCGCAAAGUAGGUGGUAAAUUCCAUCUAAAGCUAAAUAUUGGUGCGAGACCGAUAGCGAACAAGUACCGUGAGGGAAAGAUGAAAAGAACUUUGAAAAGAGAGUUAAAGAGUACCUGAAACUGCUGAAAGGGAACCGAAUCGUUUCCAGUGUCUAUAAUCCGUGGUAUAUUUCAUUGGCGAGUGUGUGCGUGCGUGUGCUGUGGCAGCGGCUUUUUUGGCUGCGCUCGGCGUGUGUGCUGUGUGUGCUUGCUGGUGCCCUGUGCUGCGGUGGGACGUCAAGGUCAGUUCGUAUGCUGCGGGAAAUGGCCGCCGAGGAGGUAGGGCUUACGCUUGCGUUUGUCUGUUAUAUCUUGGUGGACGAGUAGUCGCGGUUGGGACUGAGGUGCCUACAACGUGUUUUUGAGUGGGCCUGUGUCUCUGUGUGCGCCGUGUGCGGAUAGCUUGCUAUGCGUGUGUGGUUGUGUGUGGAUUGAUGUGGGUUUUAACUUGUUGCCGUUC
rnacentral:rRNA from 1 species